rnacentral:misc_RNA from 1 species
GAUGAAGAACGCAGCAAAAUGCGAUAAGUAAUGUGAAUUGCAGAAUUCAGUGAAUCAUCGAAUCUUUGAACGCACAUUGCGCCCGCCAUUAUUCUGGCGGGCAUGCCUGUUCGAGCGUCAUUUCAACCCUCAAGCACAGCUUGGUGUUGGGACUCGCGUUAAUUCGCGUUCCUCAAAUUGAUUGGCGGUCACGUCGAGCUUCCAUAGCGUAGUAGUAAAACCCUCGUUACUGGUAAUCGUCGCGGCCACGCCGUUAAACCCCAACUUCUGAAUGUUGACCUCGGAUCAGGUAGGAAUACCCGCUGAACUUAAGCAUAUCAAUAAGCGGAGGA